GCGCAGCCUGAUGCAGCCAUGCCGCGUGAGUGAUGAAGGCCUUAGGAGUUGUAAAAGCUCUUUCACCGGGGAAGAUAAUGACGGUACCCGGAGAAGAAGCCCCGGCUAACUUCGUGCCAGCAGCCGCGGUAAU
rnacentral:rRNA from 1 species